UGGGGAAUAUUGUACAAUGGGCGCAAGCCUGAUGCAGCCAUGCCGCGUGUAUGAAGAAGGCCUUCGGGUUGUAAAGUACUUUCAGCGGGGAGGAAGGGAGUAAAGUUAAUACCUUUGCUCAUUGACGUUACCCGCAGAAGAAGCACCGGCUAACUCCGUGCCAGCAGCCGCGGUAAUACGGAGGGUGCAAGCGUUAAUCGGAAUUACUGGGCGUAAAGCGCACGCAGGCGGUUUGUUAAGUCAGAUGUGAAAUCCCCGGGCUCAACCUGGGAACUGCAUCUGAUACUGGCAAGCUUGAGUCUCGUAGAGGGGGGUAGAAUUCCAGGUGUAGCGGUGAAAUGCGUAGAGAUCUGGAGGAAUACCGGUGGCGAAGGCGGCCCCCUAGACGAAGACUGACGCUCAGGUGCGAAAGCGUGGGGAGCAAACAGG
rnacentral:rRNA from 1 species